ACUUGAAAAUGUGGAAGUGGCUUUGAAUCAGAUAAUGGGCAGAGCUUGGAAGAGUCUGGAAGCCUCAGAAGAAGACAGGAAAAAAAGGGCCUCACUGCCUGAGAGCUUAUACAAUGUUUGAUCUACCAACAUGGUGCUCUGUAUCAUAUCACUUGAGACCUAAGGACCCACUUUAUGGUAAAGAAGGAAGACAGUGGGCACAUGACCACAGGACACAAUUGUCCUUUAACAUACCAUGCCACAUAGAAUAUCCUGCCCAAUAGAGUGAUGGAAUGGACUUUGAAGCUCAUCUCAGGUGCCAGCUUGAAGAUGAAACCCUUUGAGGAGAAGGCCCAGUACAUAUUAUAUACCAUAAGACACUUCUUCUAGAUGGGAUCGAACUUCCUCCUUUCGCUCAGAGAGGUUUGAUUGUCUGAAGCCUUCUUCUCUCAACUUGUCAAAGUCAUUCUCCAUCUAGGUUUGUCCGUUGCUGAAAACGUCCUAAUAAGAAGAUAAGGUGACCGAAUAAGGGGAUUACUUGGCAGAGAUAUGAGAGAACUGGGUUCUUGACCCCACUUUGCCAUGAACUUGGGCUUGUUGAAGAAAGUGGCCAUAUUGGUCAGCCUAUUGGGCAGGGAACUGCAGGUGGUACCCAGGAUCUGAGGAUGGCUUCCAGAUGACAGCAAGCAAAACCCAGGGCUCCCAGUCCUCUAACCACAACAGAAUGGAUUCUGCAAACAAUUCGAGUGAGUUUGGAAGCAGAUUCUUCCCCAGGCAGAGGAGCCUUUCCCUGUGGCCACCACUGCCUUCAGCCCAUAAGGGAGUUUUUCCAGGCUACCUCCGAUGAUCACUUAAAGCUCAACAGCUCUUCAUUCAGCUUGUGAGAUAGCCAGUCAUGGGACUGCUGGAUCAACUGGUAGGUACUAUUUUUAGUUAUUUGAGAAAUCUCUUACUGUUUUCCAUAGAGGUUGCACUGGUUUACAUUCCCACCAAUAGUGGAUAACUGUUCCCUUUCCUCUGCAUCCCUGCCAACAUCUGUUGUUUUUUGACUUUUUUAUGAUAGCCAUUUUGACUGGUGUGAGAUGGUAUCUCGUUGUGAUUUUAAUUUGAAUUUCUCUGAUAAUGGGCAAUUUUGAACAUUUCUUCAUGUAUUUAUUGGGCAAUUGUAUGUUUUCUUUUGAAAAAUCUCUGUUCAUGUCCUUUGCCCACUUUUUAAUAGAGUUGUUUGUUUUUUCUUGCUGAGUUGAGUUCCUUGUAGAUUACUGAUAUUAGUCCUUUGUCAGAUGCAUGGUUUGCAAAUACUUUUUCCUAUUCUGUGCAUUGUCUCUUUACUCUGUUGCCUAUAUUUUUUGCUGUGCGGAGCUUUUUAGUUUAAGUCUCAUUUGUCUGUUUUUGCUGCAUUUAAUUUCGAGUUAUUAGUCAUAAAUUCUUUGCCUAGACCAAUGUCCA
rnacentral:lncRNA from 10 species